rnacentral:rRNA from 1 species
CGGGUGAGUAACACGUGAGGAACCUGCCCCGAAGACCGGGAUAACGCUCCGAAAGGAACGCUAAUACCGGAUACCUUCACCGGAUCGCAUGAUCUGGUGACGAAAUGGAUUCCGCUUCGGGAGGGUCUCGCGGCCUAUCAGCUUGUUGGUGGGGUAAUGGCCCACCAAGGCUUCGACGGGUAGCUGGUCUGAGAGGACGAUCAGCCACACUGGGACUGAGACACGGCCCAG